rnacentral:misc_RNA from 1 species
GUGAAUCAUCGAAUCUUUGAACGCACAUUGCGCCCAUUAGUAUUCUAGUGGGCAUGCCUGUUCGAGCGUCAUUUCAACCCUUAAGCUUAGCUUAGUAUUGGGAAUCUGCUUAAAACGCAGCUCCUUAAAUCUAGUUGGCAGAGCACAUCUGUACUCUGAGCGUAGUAAUUCAUUAUCUCGCUUUCUGAAGACAGUUGUACGAUCGCCAUAAACUGUACUUGUACAAAUUUUUUAAUGGUUGACCUCGGAUCAGGUAGGAAUACCCGCUGAACUUAAGCAUAUCAAUAAGCGGAGGA